rnacentral:rRNA from 1 species
CCUACGGGGGACUGCAGUGGGGAAUAUUGCACAAUGGGCGAAAGCCUGAUGCAGCAACGCCGCGUGAAGGAAGAAGGGUUUCGGCUCGUAAACUUCUAUCAACAGGGACGAAAGAAAUGACGGUACCGGAAUAAGAAGCAACGGCUAACUACGGGCCAGCAGCCGCGGUAAUACGUAGGGGGCAAGCGUUAUCCGGAAUUACUGGGUGUAACGGGUGAGUAGGCGGCCUGGUAAGCCAGAGGUGAAAGCCUGGGGCUUAACCCGAGGAUGGCAUUUGGAACUAUCAAGCUAGAGUCCAGGAGAGGCAAGCGGCCUUCCUCUUGUAGCGGUG